GGCCGCUCAUUUAAUAUAAAAUCAAUGAGUAGAUCUCACCUCCCCUUCCCCAUACCAUAGCCGGAAGGGAUAGCGUAUCCACAGAAGAGAGAGUACGGGCCCUUGCCCAACAUUUAGUUUAGACGCGGCUCGAAUGCCUUUAUGCUAUAGGCUGUGUUAAGCAUGCUUCUUUGACAGAAAACAAACUCUUUUUCCAUGACAACAGUCGCGACUAUAAAGGGCGGGGCGGUAAGCUCUCUAUCAACAAUAGGGGGCUAUUCAUAGUAAAAAACUACUAGACUAUAUGGAUUCCAACUGAACUUCAACUUCUACUUGGUUGAUUAAUUCA
rnacentral:lncRNA from 1 species